rnacentral:lncRNA from 1 species
CCUGAAGAAAACAAUCUCUAGCAUAAGAUAAACAUUGACGCAAGGCCAAAGUUUCAGCAAUAACAGGUUGCCCACCCCCCUCAUAGAAACCCGAAAUUGCAAUGGAAAAGAAGCCUUCCAAGUCCUCAAAUACUGCUGCAAAACCGAACAAAUCAGCACUAGCAAAGACUGCACAAUCAAUGAAUGCAAUCCAAUCAACUUCAAGAGUGGUAGCCUCAACUAAAGGGAGCACACGAGGAACAGAUGGGUGGGAUAACGUUCUUGGCC